CGGCGCUCGUGCAGGGGAGGAGACGGCCGUGACUGGGGGUCUCUGCGCCCGAUCGUCCGUGUAGUUCGGUUCCGGCUGUUCCUCUGGGAGGGUCGCAGACUCGGUUCCAUUGGAAGCUGGGAUGGGCACCAGAAGAUGAUGUCAGAGCUCCCGAGCUUCUGAGGUUUUACUGUCGGCCUCCAGAACCCCGACAUGCAUGCAUGGCUUGAUGUUCAUCAUGUUCCACCAUAGACCCACAUGACUGCUCCUGCCGCAACACUGUUAGCUUCCAGCUCCAGCGUGCCUGAGGUGCUGUGCAGAGGUCAAGAAUUUCUGCUUUCUAAGGUUUCGUUGCAAAGCACCCCACACAUGUAAUCCCUCCCUGACCAGACUGCCCCCAGCUAUUGUGGAGCGAGUGCUGGAUGAGGCUCAUGUGCUGAUUUGGGAUUAUAGGAAAUCACGACCAGGAUGGGUCCAGGUCCAGCAGGUCAAAGAUGGGACUGCCUGGGGCUCAGCUGUGCCUAGAUGUGACCUUGGUCCCUGGAAGAUAUUGUCCAGGCCUAUGUCCCCGUCCACUCUGCAAGAGGGCAGCUGAAGGUUUGUCCACCCUCAGUCCCUGUGUCUGCCCCCACGACAGAGCCACUAGUGGGGUUGUGGUCACUGGGGCCCACAGGGUCUGCCUCUGCGUGGGAGCUUCUGGCCUCAGAGUUAGUCCCUGGCCUUAGGGACCUUCCCGGGGUGGGGGGUGGCAGAGUGGAUUUCUGGGGCUUGAGCAGGGCUGUGGUAUCCUCCCCUGUAGGCUGAGACGAGCCCUCCUGUCCUGACAGACAAAUGGGUCACAACCCACUUCUCUGUCCCCUGGAGAGAAGGAGCAUCUAGCAGUGUCUUUACAGAUGUCUCCCUGGGCCAGUGUCCAAGCGUCCGGCAAGUCUCUACAUUUUUAUUCUCUACAUUUUUGGCUCUAAUUCAGGGAUUUCUGAUUAGGUGUGGGGGGGCUGGCUGUGCUCCUCUCUGGUGCUCACGGCUCAAGUUUUUGCAUGGAAUCACCUGCUGAUCCGAAGGAAAAAGGCAGGAGAUGGUGACGCAUCUCUGCAACAUCAUCCUCAGGCCGGAGAGUGACAAGAUGACACAGUGCACUGACAGGUCACACAGGCUUCCUGGGCUGCUGUCUCUAAUAAAGGAAAUGUGGGAUGUGGCUGCUGGCUGAGUGACCAGUUCUCUGCUUGCUCCCGAGGUUCGUCUCUUUCGUUCCUGCCCUUCAGGGAGACGAGGGGGCUUCUGAGGCUAGGACAAGGGCUUCUGAGGGAACGUACCUCAGAGCUGCCGGAGGGGCGCGCGUCCCGGGGGAGGCCUGGCGGCGCCCAGCGGGGCCCGGGGCGACUUCGGGCUCAGUGCUCAGGAUCCUCCGGGGUCGGGGGACCCCAUGGGGUGUGGGAACAAGGCCCCGCCCUCCCCGCUCCCCUGUCGCUCAGGCCCCAAACACAGAGAAAGAGAGACAAGAGUGACCCUCAGUUUCCCUAGUUUCCCCGCAGAUCAGCGGGGCGUGCGCAGCAGCCUCCCCAUUGGUUCCUGCAGGGACACUUGGAGCCCCCGGGGGUCACAGGCUGGGGUGGGGGGUCACCCGGGAAUGUUCCCGGGCCGGUCCUUUGCGGGCCACUUCCGUCAUUGUGAUUAUGGAGUCGGGGGCAGAGGGUCGAUUUCCCUGGAAAGAGGGGAGGUGAGUCUCUCUUUUAAUUAAAAAACAAUGUUUUGUUUCAUUAUUUUCGUCCAACAUCCCGUAGCAUUCAGGGUCACUCCUGGCUCUGCAUGAGGGGACUCUCCUGGCGGGACUCAGGGUCCUGUGGAAUGUCAGACUCAGUCCUGUCAGCCCCGGCACGGCAGAUGCUCUCCCAGUGCACUGCCCUCUGCACUGGCCGGGGACUCAGGAGUGUGUGGCUGACCGUUUGAUUUUCCCAGGUUCCAUGCGCCUGCGGUACGUUUUUGGGAUCCUGGGAGAUGCGAAGUUGUAAGAGACCCUGGCAGAAGGGAGUAUAGCAUCUGGGCUGUGUUGGCCCAGAGGGGUCCGUGCAACCAAAUGUAGCAGGUAAUAGGCUGGUCACUUCCAGGAUGCGCCCCAAGAUGUACCAUAAUGCAAUCUAGGAUGACCAUUGGUCACCACACUUUUAUUUCUUUGUCUUAUAUAGUUUUUAGUGUUUUUUUUUUUAUUUUUAGGGUGAGAGAACACAUGGCAAUUUUCAGGGGUUAUUCCUACAUCUGCACUGAGGGAUCACUCCUGGUGGUGCUCAGGGAAACAAGGGAUUCCAGCAAUCAAACCUGGGAAGACACGUGCAAGAUAAGAAACCCACACACUAUAUUUUUACUAUUAUUAAUUGUAGUUUUUGGUCAACAGCUGGCAAGAGCUCAGGGUUCACUCUUGGCUCUUUGCUCAGACAUGGCUCCUGGCAGUCUUGUGGUGGGGAAACCUAUGUGCUCUUGCAUAUUAACGCAGGCUCAGCUGCUUGAACGAAAAGCAUCCUAUCCAUUUGCUAUCUCUUCUAGCUCUCUGAUUUUAUUUUCCCCCAGAAAUAUAAUUUCUGCUUCACCUGUCAAAUUUCAUAGCAUUCCCUCAUUUUCAAUUUUUCCAGGUCCAAAGACUCCCCCUUCUGUUCUGGUGAUUCUAUGGAGCCACCUGCCGAUCCUUGGGAAUUACAGAAGCUUCAGACAAUGGUGACACACCAUCUGACACACUGUCCCCAGGUGGGAGGAGAAUGAUGUGGUGACAUGAUGCAAUGACAGGCAGGUACUUGUUUCUAGGGUCUCUGUCUCUUGAGUUUUAGGAAGGAGUCCUGGGAUGUAAUUCCUGGCCUGAGUGCUCCGACUCUCUGCUAUUUGAGGCUACUUUGUCCUUGUCUGUUAGAUUCCUUUUAUUUGGGUUUAGCCACAACCAGCAGUGCUAGAGGAGUACUUCUAACUCAGUGCUCAAUUAUCAUUCCUACCAGAUCUAUGGGAACCGUUCAGUUGGCGUGGAUUCAAGACUGCCUUCAGAUUAUUUUUUUUUCUUUUGAGCAACAUUUAGUGAACAUUAUAUUUUAGGACAGGAAUGAUAUUGUGUGCUUUAUUUCUGUUUCACUUAUAGUACUUGUCUUAGCAAAGUAACUACUUUGAUCUAUGCAACAUCUUUUUUUUUUUUUUUUUUUUUUUUUCUUUUUGGGUCACACCCAGCGAUGCUCAGGGGUUACUCCUGGCUUUGCACUCAGGAAUUACUCCUGGCGGUGCUUGGGGGACCAUACGGGAUACCGGGGAUCAACCCGGGUCAAGGCAAAUGCUCUACCCGCUGUGCUAUCGCUCCAGCCCCAACAUUUUUCUUUUUCUUUUUUUUGCUUUUUGGGUCACACCCAGCGAUGCUCAGGGGUUACUCCUGGCUUUGCACUCAGGAAUUACUCCUGGCGGUGCUCGGGGGACCAUAUGGGAUGCCGGGGAUCGAACCCGGGUCGGCCGCGUGCAAGGCAAACGCCCUACCCGCUGUGCUAUCGCUCCGGCCCCAACAUUUUUCUUUUUAAAAAAAUCUUUUUAAUUAGUGAAUCACUGUGAGGGUAGAGUUAACAGAUUUACGUAUUUCCGUGCUUUUGUUUCAGUCAUACAAUGCUGAAGCACCCAUCCUUCCACCAAUUCCCAUUCUCCACCACCGAUGAUCCCAGUAUUCCUUCCACCCCCCACUUUAUCCCCCCCACCCCACCUUGCCUCUGUGGCAGGGUGUAGGAUGACAUUACUUUGUCCUCUCCCCUGUCAUCCUACAGCAGGGAAUUCCCUUUGGGUGGUGAUGGGAGGGUUACAAAGAGUGAUUCUCCUGGGUUACUUCUGGCUCUGCACUCAAUGUUGCAGCUGGCAGUGCUUGCCGGACCAGGUGGGACAGUGGGGAUUGAUAGUCCUGCCCAUUGUUCCUGGACCCGCUGUAGUGUAACUCCAUCUGCCUUUUUGUCUUCUAUUGUAUUUGUGUUCUCACACAGCUUUGAGUCCUAACUGGAUAUUGUGUGUCCCUUUCUCAUCCCUAGAACAUAGAAUAGGGACUGUGGGAUAUGGCAUUGGUAGGGUGUGGUAUCUAGUGAUUUGGUCCAACCCAGUGUUGCUAUUUUUGGUCCUGUUGGGUCUGUGCUCAGGUGUUAUCCUCUGCAGUGGUCAUUGGAUUUAUUCCUGGGGUGGCUGCAGGCAAGUCCAGAACUUGCAGGAACCUUCUAGUCUAGUGUCAUUGUAGUAGAUCUGCCUUCUUGUGAGGGAUUCCUGGGCUCAUCAGCCCCAAAUGUGGAUGGAGGCUGUUUCCUCCCAAUUGGAAUGGGGAAGGGAGUGAGGCCCUGAGCUCCUCUAGGGCGCUAGGGUGUCUCAUUCUCACGCCCCAUAGUAUGGGGUGGGAUGACAUCACUCCUGCUCCAUAUGUCUGUGUUCAGGACAUGGUGACCUUCCCCAACAUGGCCGUGAGUUCCACCCCAGAGGAAAGAACAAGUGUCAGAAAUCUAAGUUUUUGCAGGGUACAGGCGAGCUCCAACCUGCUGGAAUAUCUCCCCAGUCCCUGCCUUUAUGUCUUAUGAGUCCAACUUAUUUUAUUUUUUUGCUGUAUUUCAUUUUUGGGUCAGCUGGCAAUGCACAUGAGUGACUCCAAGAUACGCACUCAGGAAUCACUCCUGAUUAGAUCCCCAGCAUCCAAUAUGGUCCCCAGGCACAGCCGGGAAUAUUUCCUCAGCCCAGAUCCACGAUUAAGCCCUAUACAUUGCUGUGUGUGACCCAAAACAAACCAAAUGCAUUUACUUCUCUUUCCACACUUGACUUGAGUGCUUUGCUUCUGCUCUUGGUAUUGUUUGGGGGACACAUUUGGCAUUUUCAUUUUAUUUGUAAUUUUUAAAUUCCAUUCAUUUAUUUUUUGGCUUUUGGGUCACACUCAGUGGUGUUCAGGGGUUACUCCUGACUCUGCCCUAGGGAAUUUCUCCUGAAUUGCUCAGGGACCACAUGGAAUGUUGAAAUUGGGACCCCGGUGAUUUGUAUGCAAGCCCUGCCCUGCACUAUGCUGUCAUUCCAGCCUCUAAGAUCAAUUAUGUCUUAGAUUCUCACCCGCUUAGCCACUGUUUUGCUCAGUGCUUGGGGUCACUUCAACUGAUCUUGGGAGAACAGGUGGCGCCUGGCAUCAACCCAAGGUUCCCACCCGGAAUGAGGUGGCGGCGGGUGAGUGCAGAGCCUGGUACGGGGCCUGUGGGCCUUGGGGGUGCGGGAACUGCCAGGAACAAGGGGACGUGGCUGUCCCAACCCUCCGGGGACAGGACUUCUUUGGACCCUGUCCAGGAAAAUUUGACCCCGACAUGGCUACUGUUUUACUUAGAUGGGAACAAUAUCAGAGCACUUAGAGCCUUUGCUUUCCAUGUUUCAGACCCAGGUUCCAUUCCAUGAGCAUGACCAGAACUGAUUCCUGAGUGCAGAGCCAGGAAUAACCACUUAGUAUUGGCUGUGUGGUCUUCGAGAAAAUGUAAUAGAAGACAGAUUUAUUUUGAGGGGCAGAGUGGCAGCUCCCAAAAAUCAAGGGACCAUGCUGUUGUUGGUGAUGUAUUUAUUACCAUGAUGUCUGGGACCAUCCAGGAGGCGUGGUCGUCAUAGGUGCUUAGUGUUUGCAAAUGAAAAUUUGCUUUUGGGGGCUAUUUUUGGUGUUUUUAUGAGUGCGAGGGGGUCUGUCCAUGCCUGUAGAUGCUCAGGGCUUACUCCUGGAUCUGGGCUCCAUAAGAGAUGCCGAGGAUUGAUCAGGGUGAGCAAGGCAAGCACAUUAGCCCUUUACUGUCUAUCUGAUUCCAAUGUUGGUGUU